AAAUUGAAGAGUUUGAUCAUGGCUCAGAUUGAACGCUGGCGGCAGGCCUAACACAUGCAAGUCGAACGGUAACAGGAAACAGCUUGCUGUUUCGCUGACGAGUGGCGGACGGGUGAGUAAUGUCUGGGAAACUGCCUGAUGGAGGGGGAUAACUACUGGAAACGGUAG
rnacentral:rRNA from 2 species